rnacentral:misc_RNA from 1 species
GAAAUGCGAUAAGUAAUGUGAAUUGCAGAAUUCAGUGAAUCAUCGAAUCUUUGAACGCACAUUGCGCCCGCCAGUAUUCUGGCGGGCAUGCCUGUUCGAGCGUCGUUUCAACCAUCAAGCCCCCGGCUUGUGUUGGGGACCUGCGGCUGCCCGCAGGCCCUGAAAAACAGUGGCGGGCUCGCUGUCACACCGAGCGUAGUAGCAUACAUUCUCGCUCAGGGCGUGCUGCGGGUUCCGGCCGUUAAACGACCUUCAUAACCCAAGGUUGACCUCGGAUCAGGUAGGAAGACCCGCUGAACUUAAGC